GUUUUCGUAGUGUAGUCGGGUAUCACAUCCGCCUAACACGCGGAAGGUCCCCGGUUCGAACCCGGGCGAAAACA